AUGGCUUGUGAUUAUUUAUCUCCCUUAUGAUUAUAUUCCAGAGGUUUUUAAUUUGGUAAAAUCAAAGAUACUUAUAAUUUUUAAGUGAUCUCUUUUUUUCCAGAGCUGUAUACGUGUAGAGUGUAUAUGUGAUAUGUUGUGAGUAUGUUGUGAGUGAGGGGAAGUGUAGCUGAGGUGUUGGGCUGUUUUAGAGAAGUCUCUGCUGCUGGUGGUUGUUGUGGUGUAGCAGCAGCAGCUCUGAUGGCGUUUAAUAAACAGGCCUGGUUGUUUUUUACUUCACCACAGAGCAGCUCUCAGCUCGCCCUCUGCUGUCUGCUUUGAAACCUGACCGCCCUCCUUCCUCCUCAGAGCUUCUCAGCAGCUUCAGGAACUGCAGAAACUCACACUUCACCACUCACAGUCCUGCAGCUCCAGAUAACUCUCUUUAUCCAGCCGUUUCCUCUGGAUUAUAGAGAAGGAGCCGCUUCUGAGGAGCUGAGGAGAGCUUCAGUCAGAUCCUCCUGAACUUCUUCAGCCAUGGAGGGAUCUGAGAGCUCCAUAAACCGGAUUGGUCGCACUAUUUGGACAGUCUGGGGUUAUCUCUCAGGGGCUGUGGGAAGAUACCUCAAACCAGAGGUCUCAAACGAAGAAGACAAGCAAAAUGGAGAAGACACCGCGGCCGACGUGACCAUCAGCAAGAGUUACAGAGAGCUGAAAGAAGAUGAAGAAGAGACAGAAAGGAGUGAGACAAACACCUGGGCCCAAAGUGAGAGCCCCCAGAGUGGCGUCCGGGUGCGGCUUGCAGCCGUUCAGUGGGAAAAGGCGAGCAUACGCAAGGGAGGCACAAAAAGAAAAACUGGCACUGGGGUUGCGUGGAACACUGGGGUUCAGGAGGGUCGUAAAGAGGGCACUGAGAGAAAAGUACAUGAGAAGAGGGAUGGUGAAGCUUCAGACAACAACAACGAGGCGGUCAGAACCAAAAGUAAUGAUUUUGUUGAAGAAGCGUUUGUUGAUGCUCCUUCUUCCAUCAAUUUAGGCAAAGGAGCUCAAGACUUUGGGGAUUCCGGAAGUGUGGAAUUGGGUAUCGAUGCUGUAAGAAGUGAACAUGUGAUCAGCGACAAUGCUGAAAAAGCAGCAAUGAAAAUUGAAAGUGCUGGCCAAGGAGCAAUACUCGAAGAACCGACAAACAAGUGUGGUUUUGAAGACAACAAAAAUGUCCCGGAAGCCUUGGACAAGAAGGUAAUCAAACAUGCCAAGGACAAGGAUGAAAAUGAGGUGAAAGAAGAUGAGCAAGAGACAAAUCAGAGUAUAACUGAGGAUGAAACUGAGGCGUAUACAUCAGGAAUGGCCGAUGACUUGUUAUCCCACUUGACCCACUCAACAAAGCAAAUGGAAGACCUUUUUGGUUCUCCUUCAAAUGAAGAACUCAAAAUGGAUGGAGAACAUAGCGAGACAACAGAAACAACUGAAAUCCAGUCUGAGAGAGAAGUGAUUGAGGCCAGCGUUGAGGAAACAAAGCAAAGGACUGAAGGAUUCAUUAAAGAUGAGCAAGAAGAAUCCAAGCAUGACGUUGUUGACUAUAAAUCAAAUCUGGAAGAAGCCAAAGCAACUGCAUUUGAACUGCUGGAGGAACCCAGGACAGCACAGGAAGAACAUAGAGAAAAAGAAAUAAUUGAACACGAAUCAGAACCCGUAAACAUGGCCGUGCUGACACCAGGAAAAGAAGAUUCCAACCAUGAAACAAUGGAAGAGAUUGUGGGAACAAUAACGGAUGGAAAUAUUCAAGCAGCUCAGCAGGUAAUUUCUGAGACACUGAACAUCUGUGAGUCAAAGCAAGAUGAAGCACAAUUCGGAUUCACAGAGGAAAUAGUGAAAAUAAGGAAAGAACCAGUUUCAGAAUCAGUUUGCCCAGUUACUGAAUAUGAGGAAAUCUUGACACCAGAAACAGAAUUGGCCGAGGCCAUCGAGGAGUCAAAGCUAGUGACUGUGGGGUCUGUAAAGGAGGGGCAGCCUGAAGCAGAUCUGGAAUCAAGUGAAUUCAGAAGUCCUGAAAUUGUCUACAAACCAAAUUUUCAUGAGUCAGAGCUGGAUGAAUCCCAAACUGUAUUUACAGAGGAAAUGAUCAAGCCUGAAUGUGAAGCUUUGGAGGAAUCUUUAACAGGACAGAAGGAGAACACAGAAAUCCAUGGAAAUGAGCCAGAAUCUUUUAGAAAAGGUACUGAAAAUGAUCCAGCAAGUGUCACUGAAGAAUCAAAACAGUUGACUUUAGCAACCACUGAAGAUGAGCAACAAGAAGCUAAACAAUUUAGUGAAUCUGAAUUUGCUGAAGCAGUUGAGCUGUGUGAAUCAAAACUGGAUGAAUCGCUCAUUCAACUUACUGAAGAAAGAGAGGAGACUGAGUGUGAUAUUUUGGAGGAACCUGUGAUGGGGCUUAUAGAAGUUGCAGAAAGGGAAUCAAACCAAGUUCUUGAUGAAUCAGAGCAGCAUAAAGCAGGUUUUGAAUCAAGUGAAUUCAUAGUUUCUGAAAUUGCUGCCAAACCAGACAUUCACAAGUCAAAGUUGGAUGAAAACCAAAUUGUAUUCCCAGUGGAAAUGGAGGAAACUGAAUGUGAACCACUGGAGGAAUCUGCAACAGGACAGAUGGAGAACGCAGAAAUCUAUGGAAAUAAGCCAGAAUCUUUUAGUAAAGGUACUGAAAAUGAUCCAGCCAGUGUCACUGAAGAAUCAAAACAGUUGACUUUAGCAACCACUGAAGAUGAGCAACAAGAAGCUAAACAAUUUAGUGAAUCUGAAUUUGCUGAAGCAGUUGAGCUGUGUGAAUCAAAACUGGAUGAAUCGCCCAUUCAACUUACUGAAGAAAGAGAGGAGACUGAGUGUGAUAUUUUGGAGGAACCUGUGAUGGGGCAUAUAGAAGUUGCAGAAAGGGAAUCAAACCAAGUUCUUGAGGAAUCAGUGCAGCAUAAAGCAGGGUUUGAAUCAAGUGAAUUCAUAGUUUCUGAAAUUGCUGCCAAACAAGACAUUCACAAGUCAAAGUUGGAUGAAAACCAAAUUGUAUUUCCAGAGGAAAUGGAGGAAACUGAAUCUGAACCACUGGAGAAACCUACAACAGGACAGAUGGAGAAUGCAGAAAUCUAUGGAAAAGAGACAGAACCUAUUAGUGAAAGUACUGAAAAUGAAACGACACCAACAACAGAAAUUGAGCCAGUCAAUAUUAUCAAACAGUCAAGUCAAAUGACUUUGGAAACCGCUGAAGAUGAGCAUCAAGAAGCUACACAAUUAGGUGAAUCUAAGUUUCCUGAAGCUGUUGACCUAUGUGAAUCAAAACUGGAUGAAUCACCCGUUCAAUGUACUGAGGAAAGAGCUAAGAAUGAAUGGGAUCUUGUAGAGGAACCUGUGACAGGACUUAUGGAAGUUGCAGAAACUCAUGGAAAAGAUCUAGAACCCUUUAGCAUAGAUACAGAGAAUGAGGCAGCACCGACUGUUCUUGAGGAAUCGGAGCUGGCGAUUGUUGGAACCAGAAAAGAGGGGUAUCAUAACGCAGGUUUUGAAUCAAGUGAAUUCGUAGGUUCUGAAAUUGCAGACAAAUCAGACAUCCACAAGGCAAAGCUUGAUGAUAACCUAACUGAAUUCUCAGAGGAAAUAGCAGAGACUGAGGAAAGAGUGAUGAGUGAAAAGUGUGAUCUUUUAGUGGAACAUGUAACUGGACACGUGGAAGUUGCAGAAGUUCAUGGAAAAGACCUAGAACCUUCAAGAAAAGAUACUGAAACUGUAGCAGAUCUACUGCCAGACAGUGAAUCCAUCACUCUCUUCCUUUUGGAACCAACACAAGAGAUUGUGGUUACAGGGAAAAGUGAGCAGAGGGAAGCAGAUCAGCAGCAGCUGGUGAGUGAGGUCAUUGGCUCUGAAAUUACUGAAAAUCUGGCAAAGCUCGACGAAACCCAAAGUGAAUUCACAGCAGGAAUAGUUGAGACUGAAUGUGAAUUCUCCAGUAAGAUGACCUUUAAUGACGAGUCUGUGGACCGUGAGACUGUGGAGGCCAUAGUGGAGGAAGCAGAUCAGUUAAACCAACCAGACGAGAAUUCAGAAGCAGGAACCACAUUGCAUGUAGCGCUCAGAACAGAAGAAGAGACAUUAGGUGACACAGUUUAUGCUAUAUAUGGAUCACAAACACCAGAAAUGGUGAUUAAGCAAGACAGUGAGUCAGUCAUCGUGCUAGUAACGGAAGAGCCUGGAAACCAAAGCGAGACCACAGAAUUUCAACAGGAGGUCAGAGCAGAAGUUGCAGCAGAUGUUAUGAAGAAAUCAGCAGUGAUGGAGCGUGUACACGAGCAGCCAAAAUGUAAUGAACAUUUAGCUCUGCAGGAAACUAUGGCCUAUGGACUAUCUGUCCUUGGAAAUGAAUCUUUGCAAGAGUUCUCAGAUAGUAAACACAUAAUUGAGUUACAGUUACCUGAAGAACAGAUCAGUAUCAUGCAAAUAAAAACAAAAGAGAUGGAGUCUGGUUUUGCUGAGCAAGCAGAAGAAACUGCUGUUGAAUCUGUUGAUAAAAUGCCAAGCUCUUCGCCACAGGAACUGGACAAAUGUGAGAACGUUUCUGUGGGUAUUGAGUUGCUUACAGGACUGACUACGGAAACAAAAGACAGUUUUACUGCACAGAAAGUGGAAGUGCUUGAAGUGAACACUGAAUUAACAGCUGUGAGAGACCGUGUCAUAACCGAAGCAAAGUGUGAGAAAGCUGCAUUUGAAAUGGAUGCUUCAGAAACAGAAAGUGAGUCUACUCUUGCAGCUGUAGAGGCCCCAGAGACGUUUGGAAAAUCAGAGGCUUCUGUUUCAGAUGAAACGUUUGGAAGCCAGAGUCUGUUCAAGCAGGACGAGUGGACUGUGCAAGACAGAUCAGCUGUUGAACCACAUGGACAGCAGAUGGAAUACUCGGGGGAGUUGGGUCUGCCAGAGAGUGAAUCAGCACUGGAAACAUCUGCAGAGAUGCAGAGGGAUUUAGAAAAAGGCGGCGGUGAAGAUGCAAAAAGCCCUGAUGAGACCGAUGGUGGAUUCCCUUAUGAAAAGCAGGUCAUGAUGGCUUCAUUAGGGGUCGUAAAUGAAGUAAUGAGAGGACUGAAACAAAAAUGUGAAGAAAGUCAGAGUUUAUCUUCAAGGGAAAUGGACACACAUGAAAAAGGGGUGACCGAAACAUUGAAAGAAAGGGUGGAAACAUCAGACCCUAAUCUGAAUCUCCUGCAUACAGUGGAAAUCAGACAGAAUUUACCAGUAGAAGCAAUGGACAUUGGCAGCGAAAGAGAAAGAAAAGAAGAAGUCUCUCAGCAUACCACAGGUGAUGACGUAGAGCUUCUUGCAGAGGGAAAAGAGGAUAUUGGUUUUAAAGAAGAAAAGGCCGAUGGUGAAGAGAAAUUACUAGUUGACAGUAAUGGAAACAUGCAAGAAAGAAGCAGACCUGGCCUGAAGAGAGGGUUUGAAAAAAUGGCAAGAAAUGAAGAGAGUAAACCAACAGUUCCUAAGGACUGGGCCGGAACCAGCCUUGUACUCCAGCAGGUCUCCUCAUUGGACUGCACGGUCCAGAAGUCAAAAAUUGCAGUGAAAAACCCUCAUGUUCGACCACCCAAAGACCCUCGUACGCUCAUAAACAAGGCUUCAGUGGAGCCCUUGGCACCGACCCGCCCCUUACAGCCCAGUCCUCUGAGAAAGGUUCAGGGAGAAGGGCUCAUAAUACCACAGAAAGGAGUCCAAGGAAUUGGAUUCAAACUACCUGGUCUGGGUGCAGGAUUCCCUGCUUUGAGAAAAACAGAUGCUGGUAGGAAAAUCAGGGACGAGGGAGAGACAGAGAGUUCAUCAACAGAGUCUCUUCCCCUUCAGAAAUCUGAUCCCCCGACUGAGACAAAAGAAGAAAGUGUCAAGCCAGAGCAGCCGGCUAACAAACCCAAAUGGACGCCCCCGAGACAUCCUGGGAUGGGAAACCCAAUGAUGAUGUCAGAACUGAAAAGCAAACUCAAAAAGACUGGAAAAGAGUGAAGAGCUUCACCAGAGAAGAACAUCACAAUUUAACCAGCCCUUUUUUACUGAUUCUGUUCACUUUCUUUGCUAUUUCUUCCACAGUGCAAUGAAAACUAGUCUUUUCUUCCCCUGCAGUGCAAUAUAAAAAAAAUCAUAUAAUUUUUUGACUGUGCAAUGUAAAAAAAUGAGAUUUAUAGUAAAGAAAAAAAUAUUUAUAUGUGUAAAAAUUGUCUAAUUAAAUAAAUGUGCAAAUUCUAUUUUAUAUUUAUACUCU
rnacentral:lncRNA from 1 species